rnacentral:rRNA from 1 species
UACGAAGGGGGCUAGCGUUGUUCGGAAUCACGGGGCGUAAAGAGCACGUAGGCGGAUCUUUAAGUCAGGGGUGAAAUCCUGAGGCUCAACCUCGGAACUGCCUUUGAUACUGGAGGUCUCGAGUCCGGGAGAGGUGAGUGGAACUGCGAGUGUAGAGGUGAAAUUCGUAGAUAUUCGCAAGAACACCAGUGGCGAAGGCGGCUCACUGGCCCGGUACUGACGCUGAGGUGCGAAAGCGUGGGGAGCAAAUAGG